rnacentral:lncRNA from 1 species
UAAUUUUCUAUUUUCAGAUGUUCAAGUUUCAAGAGAAAAUGACCAAUAAUUUACGAAAAAUCAAGACUUGCAAGAAUUUUAUGUAUUGUGAAGUCAUAGCUAGUAGAUUCUGUGUAGAACUGUUGUGUAUUAUGUACCCAUUCAGCUUGUUAAUUUUCAUUUGAAUAUGAUACAUCUUAUUUCUUAUUGGUUUAUAAUCCCCAUCAUGUGACAUAAUACUUUUUUCUGAUUGGUUUGUAAUCAAUAUCAUAUGAAUGAAAACAAUUGUGUGCAUGUAAACUAAUUUGUUACAAUAAAUACACAUUGAAUGAGAACAAAUGAACAAUGUACAUAUAAAAAAGAAAGUUGAGUGUCACUGCAUGUUCAGAUAUUGCACGAUGUAAAUAUAUAUACCAUCUUUUUUCCAGUGUUUGCCAUCCCUGCACAAAAUAUUCAUUAAAAUGGAAUCAAAUAGACUUCCAGAUGUAAUUCAUUCAUUAAACAGAUAAAGAAAUACUUAAUUGAAUGAUAUGCCAAAAGAAAGUGGUUCAUUUUUACUGAGAACUUGUAUACAAAAUCAAAUGAUUAAGCAAGAUAUAUACUGGGGA